UCAAAACUCUUAAUUUUAAAUAUAAUAUAUAAUAAAAAUAUGAUAAAAUUUACUCAAUACAUAUAUAUCAAAGUCUUUUCUAUAAAUGUAUUAUAUCUCCUAAUAAUAUUAAAAAAAAUUAUCAAAUAAGAUAAAACUUAUAGGCUUCAAACCCGAUUUUUAACUCAUUCUUUCCAGAAUGCAAAAUAUAGCACAAAUUUUCAAAUCAAACCAACGCCGUUAGGUGAGAAGGUGACUCGACUAAGGGAUCUGCUGACGAGGAUGGAUGAGUUGGCAAUCAUGAGUAGUAGAUUAUACAGUCAGCACAGUUAAAAAAUCUAUGGCCCAGAUCCAUCCUACCCUCAUCCGGACCCCCUCAUCCUCUCAGAAGCUUGUCAUGGAAGCUUAUUCUCCUCCUCUCCUUCACUCUCCAUCGAUUCUAAUCUGAAUCCUUCACCGAUUUUUGGUCGUCUACUCUUGGAUUUAGCGAGGAACCCCGCUUACUAGGCUGUUUGACUUGGGCUGUAGUCGAAGUCAGUAACCGGUAGCAACCCGGGCGGAAUAGAGUUUAGGAGCUGUGAAGGUAUGGUUCUGGAUGCAUCUGAGGGUAUUUUUUACUUUCUCCCACUGAUUGUGUAUUUAUAGGGUAUAUGGUUUGCGCUGAUCUGUCGUUAUUAAUUGGACCAUGAAGAAUGAAGCAGACAACGACUAGCUACCACUAAACUCAUCUAUAGUUAGGCUACUAGUGACAAGAGGGAAGGACGAGAAGACAAAAAAAAAGCAACGAAGAGGAGAGGUGGGCAAGGAUGAUAGCGACGGAAGCGGCAGAAUCAAAGCGAGUGUUACGAAACGCCGGCGGCGAGAGAAAGAGUUGAGCUUUACAGGGCCGAGAUGAUGAGUGAUAUAAAGGUAGGGGAGAUGUGGUGAAAAAUAUUAAAAAUUUACCUUACACGGGUGACGUGCAACCUAAGACUGCGGGACAUCCUACCUGAAUUCCAUUUCUUAUCCACCAUUCACGCCGUAAAAGUUUCGAUUAAGUAUAACAAUCAGCAAUAAAAUCAAAUGAAAUUUCAUUUGUCUGAUUUGAAAACUUUGUUAUAUUUUGUAUUUUGGAAAGAAUGAACAAAUUGAGUUUGAAG
rnacentral:lncRNA from 1 species